ensembl:lncRNA
CUCUGCUGGUGGCUGCGACCUUCUGUCCCCUCUGCCAGACGGCUGCAAACCGCUUCAGAGAAACAGCCAGGCGGGAGCCAAGACUCCGGAAUCGUCCCUCAGGAUCCGCUCGAAGGAGCUCAGAACUGGAAACAUCUGGUGACAAUCGAAUCAGACCGCGAUUUUAGAAUAUGAUGAAGAGGAAAUGUUUGUUUAAGGGUCAGCCCACACCUGCGCGGCAGGUGUGAAGCUCGGGGAGCCGCGGCUUUGGAAGAACCGUCUCAUGGGCGCUCAGAUUGGGUCGUGUCUUCCAACCUGCUCUGCGGAAACCGCGAAGUCUCCACCACCUGGCGGAGCGGAGUGCAACCCGAGAGGUGGCAAACUGCUGCACCGGAAAAACUACAUUCCGAUUCCACGAGAUCCUGUUCAAUCAAUACCUAUUGCGAGCCUCCCCGAAGUAGGCAGGGCGCAGGGGACCCGGGACGACGAGCUCCAGGGCUCCCGGGCACACUUAGGAUCCGCGAGGGGACGAGAGACUUCGCUGAGUGCACUCUGCGCCCCGUUUGCGUUGGAGAAGUGCGGUAAUUCAAGCGCGAAAUGAGCACAGCGGAAAGGUUGCCCCAUCCAACUUCUCAGGGCGCUCGGGACAGUGGUAGACAUCCAAGCCUUAAAAGGAGCACAAGCCAGCGGUUUCAGAUGGGUACAACCGCGGCGAUCGGUACCCUCGGCGAAUGUGUACACUGGUGUGCUUUAAACGUGCCGAGAGGACGGGGAACACACACGUGUGCCUUAAGCGCACACUUUUGUCUGUGUGUGUUUUAUGUGCACGGGGCCAAAGCCUUGCUCAAGGGCACAGAGAUGACCCGGGACGCUGAUUCCAGUCUCCGUUCUCUCCGCCUCUCCGCGGUCUCUGUGCCCGCGGGCCCGCGACGGGUAGUCCCGGGAACACACGCGUUUCUGCGCUCGCGGUGUAAACGCGUCUGUGCGAUCCCGGCGCCCUCACUGGGCGUCGCCUGUGCAGACUUUCUGUUGUGUGGUCUGUAUCUCUAGGUAGGGGACAUCUUUUGUCUCUCGGCAAGAAGCUUUCCUCCGGGAGAGAUAAAGUAAUCGAUAGGGUCUUUUAAAUAGCUCCGCGUUUCCUGUGGGGCGAGGAGUAUCAGCGCGCACACCAAAUCUGCUCUGGUAUGUCACCUUAUCUCCCGUCCCCGCUGUUGUCCCCAAACGCCGUCUGUCAAGGGAGACGCCACCCGCAUUAGGACCCAGACUGGGGCCCUUCCGCUCGGGGUCACGCGCGGCGCCCUCGGGCGCUCAGUCCCGCUGGCUCUUUGGGGUCUUGGAGACCAGGCCAAGAGGCUGGGGGCAGGGUGAGGGUGCUGGGCCCGUCGGGGGCAUCUUGCGGGUGUUUGUGACUCAGGCGAGCGCCUUUUUUCUAACCUUAGAAAUAGUCCAGAGUUUUGGCGGCUAAGCCGGCCACCUGGCUUCUCUGUGCUGAGGAAAACCGGGCUUACUGCCUUCGGAGAGGGCCGCUUGGAUGUUAGAAAACCCUGCCUGGCCGGAGGUUACUUCCUCCUCACCGUAACACAAAGUUUGGCUAAGCUCCAGGUGGCAGGUGCUGGGUUGAAGAGGGAGCUCCUGAGCCCUGAGGGUUAGGGCGAUCUCGAGUGCAGCCGGAUGUCUUCGUCCCAGCCUACAGCAGAUCCAUUCUACCAGCCUGUAGCCAGCUGGAGUUGGAGCUGACCCAGGAGAGCCAAUGGCAGGGCCUCGGAAAGUAGUGCAACCUCUGGUGGUCUUGCAGCCUUAGCAAAGGCCCUGUGGCAGGCCUGGGCUUCCCUGUCUUUGUUGAAUCCUUGGUGGAGUUCUGCAGGCCAGGCCCUGCACCCAAGUGUUUUCAGCAUCUGACCACCCUUAGACCCAGGGUCUCCUCUCAUCUGUAGGCACUGUUACGAGCAUCUCAUUUUUCUUUUUCUCAUUUGAGUCAGGUGCGUACAAUUUUAAAAAAAUAAACAAAAUUACAAUAAUGAAAACUCUUAACCCUCUCUUCCCUCCUACCCUUAACUACACCAAACCCACCAAACCUCUAAAUAACACAAGUUAGCCUCCCCUGAUUUCCAGCUUCACAGGGCUGGGAGGCUAGAGGGAGAAAAUUACUUCUUGGCUUCUAUACAGACUUGCUCCCUUUGAAUUGCCAGGGAUCAUUCAGGAUUACUCCACUGCUGAGAGAGGACCACCCACCAUACACAGCCUGGGGAAAAGCCAGACCUUGGGAAAAUUUGACUUCUCCUUUCUUAGGGUUUAUUUAUUGAAAGUAGAAAUUUUCAUUAGGACAUAAAGUCAGGGUAAAUGCCUCUUCCUGUUGAGGAAGAGGCAUUCUGAGUUUUCUUGUUCUUUAGAUCUUCCUACUUGUGGCCUUUCCAAAGGAAUUUGACUAUUAGCAACACCCAGAGGGUGGAGGAGGAGGAGCACGGUGUAAACUGUGCUUUCGAGUGCCCUGGGCCAUACUACCCUGUGCUGUGCUGUGCAGAAUGUGAGCUGGACACUGCCAUUCUGCUCUGAUCCAAGGGCUGAAUGUGUUUCAUCCGAUGGCUUCUUCUGUUACUCUGAUCUGGUCGUUUAGUCCUGGGCAGAUGUGGGUGUGAUCUUCAUGGAGAGAGAGGACCCCAUCUCCACUCCUCUAGGGCAGAGCCCUCAAGUAGUCUGCCUGUGAGAGAAUACUUUGUCAGAAGGAGCCCAGGAGGGCCAGGGAUUUAGCUCAGUGGUUCCGCCGCCUGCCUCAAAAGUGCAAGGUCUCGAACUGAGUUCGAUCCCCAUUCGAUCCCCAGUACCAAAAAAAAGAAAAGAAAAAAAAGAAGGAGCCCAGGGUACUUGACUUCUUUCCUUCUAACAAGAUAUAUGGGGUGAGAGAUGGAGAGUGAGGAGACCAGCCAAGGGGGUUUUACGGUGGCCCCUCCAUUCCCUUCUCCCUAGAUGUGUCAGUCAUCCUAUAGGACCCUCGGCCUUUUUCUUAAGGGAAAGAGGGUACUCUCAGCUCAGGAGAAGUAGCAAGAGGUGAAGUGGGAACAGGAAAUACUGGGAACAACUCUUAGCCCAAUCCUGAAUGUGAGUGCAGCAGUGAUUCUGGGAGAUGCUACUUAGGAUAAAAUAAGUUUCCUUUAGCUGCAGACUGUCUCUGAGGUCCCCUGGAGUCUAGCAGUACACUAUUUCCCCCUCUCUGAAUACAGCUUUUCAGGCUUUCUGGUUUUCAGGAACUUUUACUUGAGCAUAACACAAAAGUACACAAAAUGAAAUUGUGAAACCCUGCGAAUUUUCACUAUCUGAACACAGCUGUGUAGCUAGGACACAGUUCAAGAAACAGAACGUUAUCAGCAUCUAGAAAGCUCAUGAGCUCCAUUUUCCUCCAGGGGAGCGUGAUUGAUUCUGAUUUCUAACAUAGAUUAGUUUUUCCUGUUUUUGAACUUUAUAUCUAAUCAGACUGUUUGACACCUUUUAAAUGUUGGUGAGAUACAUUGUAGUUGUACUUAGCUCCUUUUCAUUGCUGUGUAACAUUUUAUUGUAUUACUAUAUUACAAAUUGAACAUCUUUGACCUGAAAUCUAAAAUGCUCCAAAAUGUGAAGCAUUUUGAGCACCAACAUGAUGCCACAGUGGAAGAAUCCUAACUUGACCUCAUAUGACAAGUUGCAAACAAAUGCAAGUAGGGAGCUGGGAGUGUAGCUUAGUGGUGAAUGCUUGCCUAGCAUGUACCAGGCCCUGGGUUCAGUGAGUGGAUUGGUGAGGGGCGUUGAGAAAAAAGCACAAAUGCAAUAAAAAUAUUGUGUGAAAUUAUGUGACUAUGAAACAUAAAUGAAUUUUGUUAGGACUUGCAUCUCAUCCUCGAAAUAUAGAUGCGCAUGUUCCAAAACUGAAAAAAAAAAUCUGAAAUCUGAAGCAUUUCAGGUAAAGACUCACUUGGUGCACAUGUGCAGAGUUUGCAGUUUUUCUUUGUUUGGGUUUUGCUUUGUUGCUGAGGGUUGAAUCCAGAGCCUCCUGCACAGUGUCCAGUUUUUGACUGUUGGGGAUAGUGAGUGCCUCUAUACACAUUUCUAAUGGGUAAAUGUCUAAGAGUGGGCUUGCUGGGCUACAGGAUAUUCACAGAUUAAGCAUCUGUAGAUCCUACUCAACAGUUUUCCAGAUUGGCUGAACAAAUUCACACUCAUUUGGGCAGUAUAUGAGAAUUGCAGUUUUCUACAUCCUUGCCAACACUUGGUAAUGUGAGUUUCAAAAUUAAAGCGGUUCUGGUGGGGGUGUAGGGAUAUCUCUCUGUGGUUUUGUUUUGCCUCUUUCUAAUGACUAAUGACUCAAACACCUUUUCAAAUACUCUUUGGCUUUUUGACUGGUCUCUUUGUGAAAUGCCCAUUUCUUCGUGGUUAAUGGAGCCUGUGGUUUGCAUUUUUGUUUCAUUCUUUUAAAAUUAUUUAUUAUUAAAUUUAUCUUUAUGUGAUACACGAAACCUAAAAAUCAUACAUAUUAAUGGGGCCUAUAAUAACUGUGUAAGGUUUAAAUCAGGUUAAACAAAUCUAUCUCCCCAAAUACUUGUCAUUUCCUUAUGGUGAAAGCUUUCUAUAUCUUUUAGUCCAGCUCUUUGAAAUGUACAAUUCAUCCCCCCCCCCCCCUUUGCCAUGCUGGGGAUUGAAUCUAGGAUCUCAGGCAUGUUAGGCAAGAAAAGAAAUUCAGAGCCCAGGACCUCUUGAAUGCUAGGUACAAGCUCCAUCACUGAGCUGCACCCUCACUCCUGAAUUCUGUGUUUUAAAACCCUGCAUAAUGUAAAUGCAAAAGGACUUGGAGACCUGCCCCCUUUCAAAGUCCCAGAGGCUGCCCCACCUCUUCCAGGCAGUCUUUCUUGAUUACUGCAGUUCAGAGAGAACCAGUUUCCUUUUGGAAAAUGAGUGAAAUAUGAAUAUAAUUUUAGACAUGCUUCUGCAAUUUGAGAAUUCUUAUCUUAAAAAGUCUUAGCAAACAAACCUCUUAGCAAAAUUUAAGGUGAAGAUAGCAUAUGAUUAUUUUAAUUAUUUUGAUUACUUUCAAGUGAUUCACUUGUGUUUUUCUCCUUAAUUAAUUAAUUAAUUGUUGGUACCGGGGAUUGAACUCAGGACCUUGUAAUUGCAAGGCAGGAGCAGUGCUACUAAGCUAAAGCCCUGACCCUAUUUUUGUUUUUUUGAGACAGGGUCUCAUUAUGUAGCCCAGGCUGGCCUCAAGCUUGUGGUAAUCCUCUUGCCUCAGCCAACACACCCAGAUGUGUUUUUCUUUUUAAGAUGCAUUACCUAUUUGCAUCUUACCUAGUGACAUCUUAGUUUUUAAAUUAAUUUUUGUGGUCUCUUUUUGUAUUAGUUAAUUCUUUGCCAUUUUAUUAUCUGUUGCAAUAAAAAAAAUUUUCCCAUUUGUCUUCCUAAAACCUUUAUUUUUUAUUGUAAGGCACCUGAUGAUAAUGUCUAAAGAGGAAACUCAUACACAGAGUGGGGGGUGUUGGUUGCUAAUUAGAACUGCCUCUGUAUGUGGCAAUGGCAGAGCAAAGACUGUAAGCAUCAGGCCUGACAACCAUCCCAGCAGGGGAUCCACAGGACAGAGGCCAUGACUGCUCUGGACUAGGACAGCAUAAGAGAUCGGCUGACAUUAGAGAUUGGUCUGCCCUGAUGGCGGCCAUGUGUGCAUCUGCGCCUGCGUGCGUGUUUGCGUCUGCACGUGCAUGCGUGCAUGCGUGCGUGCGUGCGUGGGGGCACCGGUUUUGAAAUUUUCAUCCCAGGCCCAGGGAUGAUGGAGAUGGAGCAGAAGGCAUGUCAGUGGCUGCUCUCAGGGUAGGAGGUGUGCAGAAUGUGAUGGCAUUGAGUGACUUCCAGAGUCCUGAUCUCAAGAGGCCCUGCAGUAUGCACCUUUGCCCUUUUGCUUCUCUGUCCUGAGACCAUGAUGGAAGGAAGUCAGUCUAACUUGCUGGAAGAUGAGAGGCCGCAUGGAGGAAAGCCAAGACCCCCAGCCCACUGCCAGCACCAACUGCCAGAUACCAUUGUUAUUUUGUUCCAUCUAUUUGGGUGUGAGAAAAAAUUCAGUUUCACUCUGGCUGUCUUUGAUUCCUGGUGUUCUGGAAGGAUGAGGCCACUGGGGGAGAACUGAUGCUCACAAUCCCCUACUACAAUGGGUAGACAAAGAAGUGACCAAUAGUCUUGUAAAAAUGACUUUGGUUUCAAGUACUUGAUAUAAAAGACACUGUGGUUUCCUCCUUGCCCUCUUUGGAUAACUCACUCUGGGAGAAACUGGCCUCCAAGUUGUGAGGACACUCAAGCAGCCCUUUAGGGGAGGAUCCCAUGGGAAGUAACUAAAAUCUCCUGUCAAGAAUCACCAUGUACUUUCAACCAUGUGAACAACCUUGAAAGUGGAACUUCUAGCCCCAGUUUUAAACAUUCUAAUGACUACAACAGGGCUGACAUCCUGGCUGUCAGAAUGAUACACUUGAGCUACUCCUACAUUAAUGAUCAAACAAACUGUAUGAGAUAAUACAUGUUCAUUGUUUUUUUAAUCCACUGUGACUUGAGGUAACUUGUACAGUGAUAGCUAACUAAUACACCAUUUCAUACUGCUACAUUGACUACUGUUUAGGUUAUAUAAGAGCAAAAACUGGAUUUCAGGUGAGAGUUUGCUGAGUGGCAGAAUAAUGAACAGUCAUGAUCAGUUGACUAUUGUUGCUGUUUUUGAGAACCUCUGACCUCAAGUGAUCUGAUUCCAAUCUGACUAUCUGUCACAUCUCACAGAAAACUCAUAGCCACACCAGGUUAUUAGUACUGUGUUAAAAAUGUAAAUUAUCAUUUAUUGUAUACUCCCAGUGUACUGGGCCCAUUCUCGAAUAAUUUUCAAGACCACUCUAUGAAAAAGGUACUAGUUUUAGUUUCAUUGUACUCUGAUCAGGAAACUAUUUGCCAUGGCUGAUGUCCCCACCAAAAUUCAGGUUGAAAUUUAAUCCCUGGUCUGAGGUAUUAAGAGAUGGGACCUUUAAGAGGGGAUUAGGUCAUGAGGCCUCUGACUUCAUAGAGAGGAUUAAUCCACUUAUAGAUUAAUGGGCCAGUGAGUAAUCUUGAGAAUGAGUUUGUUAUAAAAGCCAAUUUGACUCUUUCUGUUGUUUGUGCUCCUCUCACCAUGUGAUGUCCUGUACCAUCAGGGGGCUCUGCCGAAGAAGGACCUCACUAAGUGUAGCCUCUUGAACAUGGACCUCCUGGCCUCUAGAACCAUGAGAUGAAUAAAACUUCAUUCUUUAUAAAUUUCCCACUCUCAAGUGUUCUGUUACAGCAGGAGACAGACCAAAAUACUUCUUGGGAAAGAUUACACAGUUAGAGGAUAUGAAGUGAGCAUGCGUGACUUUGCAGUCUGAGCUUCUCAGACAUCUGUUUUUUAGAGCUCCUCCCUGUCUUUGGCACAGGGGAGGUGAUAGUUGAGUUAUGUCUUGAAAUAGAAGUAGGUGUUCACCUGCUAGAGAAAGGAGAAGAGACCAUUAGGAAGAGGGACCAAUAUGGGAAGUGAAAACGGGGCACCAACGAAGUGAGAGUAAACUAGUAUUUGAACUCAAGUUCAUCCAGUUCUAAAAGCUGUCAAGAAAUGGAAAGCUUGUGUGGCAAAGAGUACACAAAAGAGAGCAAACACAGAUUACAAUUUUUCUUUCAACAAAUGGAAAUGCAGUCCUAUUGUCUUCUGGUUCCCAUUGUUGCUGAUGGAAAAUCAAUUGUCUAAUUCCUGUUCUUUUUUAAGAUAAUUCAGCUCCCAACUGUUUUUAAUUUUUUUCCUUUAUCUUUGAUUUUCAGGAGGCUUUUAGGUUUUAAAAGUACUGUGUCUAGGUAUGGAUUAUUUAUUUAUUUAUUUAGUUUUAUUUAUUCUGCUUGGGAUUUGUAGGACUUCUUGAAUCUUCUUUUUUUUGGUACCGGGGGGUCAAACUUGGGUCCUUCCGCUUGCGAGGCAGGUGGCAGAACCACUGAGCUAAAUCCCCGGCCCAAAUAUGAGGUUGUCUAUUAGGGUUUUCUUUUGCUUUUUCUUUUUUUGGUACUGGGGAUCGAACUUGGGACCUUGUGUUUGUGAGGCAGGCGCUGGAACCACUGAGCUAAAUCCCCGGCUUGAAUCUUCUUGAAUACCUCUCUUCAGUCUUGAAAGAUUCUUAAUGGGUAUCUCUUCAAGUAUUAUUUCUUUCUCUUCUGGAC